rnacentral:rRNA from 1 species
CGAAAGCCUGACGGAGCAAGACCGCGUGGGGGAAGAAGGCUCUUGGGUUGUAAACCCCUUUUCUCUGGGAAGAAAGUUGUGAAAGCAACCUGACGGUACCAGAGGAAUCAGCAUCGGCUAACUCCGUGCCAGCAGCCGCGGUAAGACGGAGGAUGCAAGCGUUAUCCGGAAUGAUUGGGCGUAAAGCGUCCGCAGGUGGCAGUUCAAGUCUGCUGUCAAAGACCGGGGCUUAACUUCGGAAAGGCAGUGGAAACUGAACAGCUAGAGUAUGGUAGGGGCAGAGGGAAUUCCUGGUGUAGCGGUGAAAUGCGUAGAGAUCAGGAAGAACAUCGGUGGCGAAAGCGCUCUGCUGGGCCGUAACUGACACUCAUGGACGAAAGCUAGGGGAGCG